AAAAUGUGAGGUGCCAAGCCUGGCAGCAAAGAGAGGACUGAUCAACAAAGCAGCCAAGCAAAGAAAGGAGGAAAACUCAAGGACCCAACCCCUCCCUCCACGCAAGAGGCUCGGAUCUGCUUGCUUAUCUUGCUGCUAUGAUACCAGGAACAAUACAGAUGCUUAUUGAGGAAAAACUAGGACUGGCAGAAAAGCAGACAAAAACAAUUCCUUAUCAGAACUCUGGUUUGAUAUCUCAUCAAAUUUCACACACAUUAUGCGACCAGACAACCUACGAUGGUGAAGAGUGCAAUUGAGAGAAGUGAGAGAUAGAGAAAACUGCCUCCUGAACUUGGUUGGCCAGCUAUGUGAUGCGCCCCCGCAGGAAAAAGUAUCGGUUGGUAAUCACAAACACUUACUUUUUACUCACAGAGACGCAGGAAUGGAUUUGAUCAUGUUGUGGAGUGCUUUGAGGUCUUUGGAAUAAAGGCAUUCUACAAAU